ACACGUGCCUCUGCUUGUCUGUGUUUACGGGCAAGGAGCCCAAGGGAGGAGGGAUGGCAUAGAGACUGAAGGAGUCACAACGGCUUUGACAGUAAGAGGCAUGGGUGCCAAGGCCCUGGGGCAUCCUGAUUCGCCUCAGCAGGGCUACCUUCGGAGGAUGAAACGUUCCUCCUCCAAGCAGCACAGGGCAGUCCCUAGGUCAGGGACAACACAGGCCUGCAUCUCUCCGCGGUUGGUCUACAAGCAAGACUGAGUUGAACACUACCAUUCCCAGCCUCCUUCCAACUGGUCCUGGCACAAGUGUGACGAGAUCUCAUCGAGAAGCUGGUUCUUCCUGAUCACCCCUGACCCAUCUUUGUGAAGCCCUCUCCCCACCUUCCCAUCUCCCCCAUGACUGUGAUCUGGGAGAAGAGGGUUUCAGCCUUUGUCCGCAGAGACUUCUUGUCUCCCCUCAGAAAUGCCGCCUCAAGGACCCAGGAGCGAAUCUCUGAAAAGUAAUCGUGGAGAAAGAUCCGCCUCACCUCCCGGGGUCUCGGGGAGACAGGGGCCUGACUCGUCCCCGGGCUCCA